GAUGAAGAACGUAGCGAAAUGCGAUAAGUAAUGUGAAUUGCAGAAUUCAGUGAAUCAUCGAAUCUUUGAACGCACAUUGCGCUCCCUGGUAUUCCGGGGAGCAUGCCUGUUCGAGCGUCAUUACAACCCUCAAGCUCUGCUUGGUGUUGGGCCUCCGUCCUCCUCCCGGGGGACGGGCCCGAAAGGCAGCGGCGGCACCGCGUCCGGUCCUCGAGCGUAUGGGGCUUCGUCACCCGCUCUUGUAGGCCCGGCCGGCGCUUGCCGACACAUCAAUCUUUUUUCCAGGUUGACCUCGGAUCAGGUAGGGAUACCCGCUGAACUUAAGCAUAUCAAUAAGCGGAGGA
rnacentral:misc_RNA from 1 species